CAGGUUUUGCCAGAUCUUGACAUGAAAUACCUUGAUAAAGUUAUUACCCAAGGCAUGAAUAGAAAGAAACAGCAUGAAGUAGGUUACUAUAAUGGUGACGAAGACAAUUUUUUUUUAAGUUCACUUAUAUUUGAUCUAUAAUAUUCCUACUGGAAAGUUAAUUUGCCAACUAAAAACUCAAAAACACAUUUGCAUUAAGAAUACACUGACUAUAGGUUUUCAAAUGAAAUUUACACAAUACACUAUCAUCUGGAGUAACACAAAAAGCACUAAUGUAUACGCUAAUAGUAAUAUUAAUGUGUGAGAUAUAAAUUAUGAAGUGCCUAUACCUAGAAUUAACUUGUUCCCAGAAUCUUUGAAUGAUCCGAUCACGGGAAAAAUGUUAAGCUAUUGUUAUGCAAACCAAGGAGUUCUACUUACAUGUUUACUAUUCAAUACGUACAUGUUUAUUUUGCUUCGAUUCUUAGGUAUGAGUUUAUAAUACGUGGUGAUUUUCUUGCAGGUUUUGCCAGAUCUUGACAUGAAAUACCUUGAUAAAGUUAUUACCCAAGGCAUGAAUAGAAAGAAACAGCAUGAAGUAGGUUACUAUAAUGGUGACGAAGGCAAUUUUUUUUAAGUUCACUUAUAUUUGAUCUGUAAUAUUCCUACUGGAAAGUUAAUUUGCCAACUAAAAACUCAAAAACACAUUUGCAUUAAGAAUACACUGACUAUAGGUUUUCAAAUGAAAUUUACACAAUACACUAUCAUCUGGAGUAAUUUACUGACCGAUGAGUAAGCUUCUAAUUUCAU
rnacentral:lncRNA from 1 species